AGUAUUAUGUCUGAUUUAAGUAAUAAACUGUAAAUUUAUUUAAAAGAACCUCUUUAUAUUCUUUAAUACUA
rnacentral:tRNA from 1 species